rnacentral:rRNA from 1 species
GGGGAAUAUUGGACAAUGGGCGCAAGCCUGAUCCAGCCAUGCCGCGUGUGUGAAGAAGGCCUUUUGGUUGUAAAGCACUUUAAGCGGGGAGGAGGCAACUUGGGUUAAUACCCCGAUGUUGCGGACGUUACCCGCAGAAUAAGCACCGGCUAACUCUGUGCCAGCAGCCGCGGUAAUACAGAGGGUGCGAGCGUUAAUCGGAAUUACUGGGCGUAAAGCGCGCGUAGGCGGCUUGUUAAGUCGGAUGUGAAAUCCCUGGGCUCAACCUAGGAACUGCAUUCGAUACUGGCGAGCUAGAGUGUGGGAGAGGAAGGUAGAAUUCCAGGUGUAGCGGUGAAAUGCGUAGAGAUCUGGAGGAAUACCGAUGGCGAAGGCAGCCUUCUGGCCUAACACUGACGCUGAGGUGCGAAAGCAUGGGGAGCAAAC